GACGAACGCUGGCGGCGUGCCUAAUACAUGCAAGUCGAGCGGAAGUUGGAGAGCUUGCUCUUCAACUUUAGCGGCGGACGGGUGAGUAACACGUGGGCGACCUGCCCUGCAGAUCGGGAUAACUCCGGGAAACCGGUGCUAAUACCGAAUAGUUUUCGCCACCUCCUGGUGGCGUACGGAAAGACGGUUUCGGCUGUCACUGCAGGAUGGGCCCGCGGCGUAUUAGCUAGUUGGUGGGGUAACGGCCCACCAAGGCGACGAUGCGGAGCCGACCUGAGAGGGUGAUCGGCCACACUGGGACUGAGACACGGCCCAGACUCCUACGGAAGGCAGCAGUGGGGAAUCUUCCGCAAUGGACGAAAGUCUGACGGAGCAACGCCGCGUGAGUGACGAAGGUUUUCGGAUCGUAAAACUCUGUUGUGAGGGAAGAACAAGUACCAACUAACUACUGGUACCUUGACGGUACCUCACCAGAAAGCCACGGCUAACUACGUGCCAGCAGCCGCCGUAACAC
rnacentral:rRNA from 1 species